rnacentral:rRNA from 1 species
CCUACGGGUGGCAGCAGUGAGGAAUAUUGGUCAAUGGUCGGGAGACUGAACCAGCCAAGCCGCGUGAGGGAGGAAGGUACAGAGUAUCGUAAACCUCUUUUGUCAGGGAACAAAGGCGGGGACGUGUCCCCGGAUGAGUGUACCUGAAGAAAAAGCAUCGGCUAACUCCGUGCCAGCAGCCGCGGUAAUAAUGAGGAGGCGAGCUUUAUCCGGCUGUAUUGGGUUUAAGGGGUGCGCAGGCGGUCUGUUAAGUCAGCGGUCAAAGACCGGGGCGCACCCCCGGCCCGCCGUUGAAACUGGCAGUGUCGAGUUGGAGAGAAGUAUGCGGAAUGCGCGGUGUAGCGGGGAAAUGCAUAGAUAUCGCGCAGAACUCCGAUUGCGAAGGCAGCAUGCCGGCUCCACACUGACGCUGAGGCACGAAAGCGUGGGUAUCGAACAGGAUUAGAUACCCCAGUAGUC